AGGGGGGUUGGGUUUGGUUGAUAUCAGCACUUCAGUCAUCGACAAUUCCGUACUAGAACGUGGUACGUUCUACAGAGCGUGUGGGCGAGCUGUCGCAGCCGGGAUAGGAGCGACAUCUUCUUCUCCACUCCUUUCACGUCCGUCUAUUUCAGCGAAAAAUGUGCGCCCUUUAUCGCGUUCCGAAUGCAGUUUGUUCGGAUAAAUAUCGGAUUAUGCGAAAGAGGCCUGGGUUUAGAUUCCGAGACGUCUGAAUUGGAACAGUUCUUACCAACAUGAAGAAAUGUGAACCACAAAAAAAAAUGGCGGUGUGAACGUAGCCACAUGCUAUGCUAGUAUUCCACUUGAGACUUGCAGGGUAGAUCUUCAAAAUGUACCAAAAACUUCCUCACGCCGACACCAUGGCUCGUUCCUGGGUUUUGCUGCCGACUGAGCACGCCGGACUUCCACAAAGGUCAGGACCACGACCUGGGAUCUCACCUGUAAACAAGCGAUCAUUUUAUACGCGGACUUUCAGCCUGAAUCCCAGGCAGGACCCAGAACCUUUUGUCAGGUGACCAAAUAUGGCGGCUCAACCACUUUAGUGCCCUCUAGUGCCUUACGAGGUCAUUGCAGGGUUUGCCACGUGGCUUUAUGCACUUCGCUGGGGCAAACUCAACCAGCGUCUAUAUCAGGGGUGUCCAAACUUAACCCGGCGAGGACCCGUUCCUCGGUGAGGGGAGGUUUCGUCAUUUUGCAACGCGUUCCGCUGGAAACGAUGGAAAGCGCCACUCGACAUGGCAAAGUUAAAACACAUUUUAAGACAUUCAGAACUCUGCUGCCAUCUGGCGGCUAAAGUGGAUAUUGGAAAUUUGUCACGUUUCAUGUGUCGGGUAAAUGUGGCCAUAUGAAUCCCCUUCCUACUGUACUUCAACUUUUAUAAGCAAUUCCCCCACCCAAUAAGAAAUAAUGUAAAUCCAAUUAAUGUGUUCCAGUCAAAAAUAUGAACACGAAACACAUUCUUUAUAGAAUAUUACAAGUUUCACAUGCAAAAAUUGUUUCCCGCCUCACUCUAUCACAGAUUGUCUUGUUUUUUUUUCCUUUUAAAAACCUAUUCUACAUGUUUUUGGCCUACAUUCAGCAUUUUCAAGCAUAAAAAUACAUUUUGUGGGCUAAAAAAAUCGGAAUACUACUUUAUCAUUGGCCAUUAAGACCUCUAAAGGCUUAGUGGCCACGUGCGUGGACAGCACCUUUUAGCUCUUAUUUCCAAAAUUGUGUACACUACUGAAUUGGAGUCUUAUGGCCACUUAUGUGGACACUUAUACUGCCAUCUGGUGGUGUCAGAAGAGUAUAACAUACAAUGGAAUUUGGGGGGGGGGGAGUGUAAAAAUAAGAAUUAGCAUGUCACUAAACAUGAAGUACACGUUUGUGUACUUAUGGACUAAGUACAUCAUAUUAAAAUAUGAUUCUUAGUUUGUAUUCUAAUUAGGGUCCAAUAAGCCCAAAUAGCAAAGAGAGAUAAAAAACAAAAGCAUGUAAACAAACAGCUUGGGCCUUAAGAGGUUAAAGGACAGCAAACAGUGUGGUUCAGUAUCGUGGCCUCUGAUUGGCUUAGCCCCAAGCAUCGGAUUAAAGGAGUUAUUUCAUGUUAUAAAUGGUUGUAAACAGUUUUUUUGCGCUCUCUGAAAAUAUUUGAUCAUUCCUACUUAGAAGGGGGAAAAAAUUCCCAAUUUAGGGAAUCCAAGAGGGAAUACUGCACAUAUAAAUGAUGAAUAAAAUGUAUCAACUAGAAAAUUCCCACGGAAAUUUUGAUGGGUCAGAAUUCCAAUAAAUGUUAAAAAAUGGCCGAGUUUGAUCGAGUAGGCUGAGAUAGGCUCCAGCACCCCCCGCGACCCCAAAAUGGACAAGCGGUAGAAAAUGGAUGGAUGGAGGAAAAUUAGAUUUUUUUGGGGUCAAUUUCGCUGACUUUUGAUGGCCAUCAGAGGCGGAAUGGGACACGUGACCUCCAUAAAAGUGACAUUUUCGUAGAGAGGACGAGUGUGUCAACGUUUUCACCGACACACGUGACAGUGGGAUAAAAGAUGUGGCCGUGACGACAGUUUGUUCCCCAAAAAAAGGGUAUUUCCGGGUCUGCCACCCUCUAGUGUACACCAUCCGCUUUAAUGGUGUACACCAUCCGCUUUAAUGGGGGGAACCCCGAUGGCGCUCGCCUCCUUACGAUGACCAUCCAGCAAAAACCAAACAUUGGACGUCAAAAAAAUUUAAGCCAGGGUUAACGUAGACAAGUGUGUGAACAAAAUGAGACGUUAAACACCGAGCUACGUGAAAGUAUGACUGAGCUACAAGAAGAGGCGAUCUCGCUGUUUUGGCAAAACCCUCCAUUUUAAAAGUUGCCCAUAGCGAUUAAUUUCCGGAAUAGCGUCACCAUGGUAACACGAAAUGAUCCCAACUAUAAAUACUGCCGUCGUCCUCAUCGAGACCUUUCCGACGGUAUAAGAUACGUAGGGGUUUGUUGGUUGGUUCGUUGCGCAUUAAUCGCGAAAGUUUAGGA